CCAAGAAGCAAGUUUUGGAGGAAAGGGUUUAUUCAGGAAAGGAAAAGGAAAAGAAAAGAGGAAAGGAAAAGGAAAAAGGAAAGGAAAAGAAAAAAGGAAAGGAAAAGAAAAAAGGAAAGGAAAGGAAAAGGAAAAGAAAAAAGGAAAGGAAAAGGAUUGUGGGCUGUUUGGCCACGUUUUCAUGUACAUUUUUUUUAAUCAAAUUCCUUUGAGUUGUUGCUUGUUAUGUGGCCUGGCUUGGAGGUCUGCUAUUAGACAGGGCUACAUUUUAACUCUUCAUUCUCAUGUGACAACCUUUGAGGACAGGUCCAAGAGUAGAAGGUGUACCCACAAUGUGCUCUGUUUUGUCAACAGUUUUUAAUAAUAUUAAUGUUAAAAUGCUUAAUACAUGGAACUAUGAUAAACACUUAUGUGUGUAUCCAAAGCAUAAUUUUCAACUGUCUCUCACACAUGUAAUAAUGUAGGAUAAUUAACAAUCAAAUGUUUAUCUCAUAAUACAGGUUACUGUGCUAUGGAUAUAUAUGUAUUAUUUGAUGACCCAUAAUUCUUCAUGUCUGUAUUAAGUAUCCUUUUGGAACUAUGUACAGAUGCUACAUUAUGUAAGAACAAUGAGAUUUCAUUUUUUGUGAUGUUUGUUUGUGUGUGUGUCUCUGUGUCUAUGUGUAUGUGUGUAUGUGUGUAAUAUGCUGGUAGGUUUUUAGGCCACCACAUAUAUUUGGAAAAUGGAAGACAAGUUUGUAGGGUCUACAUUUGGCCAUCAUGACCUCGAUCAAGGUCAGAGUGCUAGUUUUGCAUACCACAAAUGCUUUACACUAAGCCUUCUUGCUGAUCCUCAAAUAAGAUUAGAUAAAAGAUUCCAUCAGUAAAAUAUUUUCUUCUUUUCAACAUACAAACAUAUUGUCAUCAAAGGAUAAUAAAUCUCAUUUGCCAAUGAAAAGUAUAUACUGUUUUUUUUUGCAAUGUGUUAAUUUAUUCUUGGAGUAAACACUUCUUUUUUUUGAUUAAUUAAUUUAUUAUUAUGUGUAAGUACACUGUGG
rnacentral:lncRNA from 1 species